rnacentral:rRNA from 1 species
AAUGGGCGCAAGCCUGAUCCAGCCAUACCGCGUGAGUGAAGAAGGCCCUCGGGUUGUAAAGCUCUUUCGUCGGGGAAGAAAAUGACUGUACCCGAAUAAGAAGGUCCGGCUGACUUCGUGCCAGCAGCCGCGGUAAUACGAAGGGACCUAGCGUAGUUCGGAAUUACUGGGCUUAAAGAGUUCGUAGGUGGUUGAAAAAGUUGGUGGUGAAAUCCCAGAGCUUAACUCUGGAACUGCCAUCAAAACUUUUCAGCUAGAGUAUGAUAGAGGAAAGCAGAAUUUCUAGUGUAGAGGUGAAAUUCGUAGAUAUUAGAAAGAAUACCAAUUGCGAAGGCAGCUUUCUGGAUCAUUACUGACACUGAGGAACGAAAGCAUGGGUAGCGAAGAGGAUU